rnacentral:lncRNA from 1 species
UGGAGGAAUGAAGGGAAGGCGGUAUAAGGCAAAAGCAGCGAUGGGAGGUGUUGGGAGGGGACAUUUCCCCCACCCCUCCUGAGUUCUUAUGGCUGGACUAAUAAUAAAGGCGACACAACACAUAUUAAUGGGAGAAAAAGAAACAAAUUUAGUUCGUGCUCAUCAAGGUCUCAAAAAAUUGGACCUAAGAGAUGGCCAAAGCCAGCAGCUUUUAUACUUUUUAGACAAAGAGACACUACAUUUGUGAGAAAUUGACUGGACAAAGAAACUUAGGUUUGGGGAGAUCAGUUAGUGAAGAAUCUAAAGAGAGUCUGGGCUUGGGGUAGUUUAUGAAAGAAGUAACAAGGCUGGUUUACACAGGCUUCUCAGCCCCAAUUCCCUAUCUUUGAUGACAAGGGUGUCCUUCGACCUCCAGAUCAGGGAGGGCACCUUUCACAUGAGAGCUUGAUUUCCUGCUUUCAGGGAGACAGGAAGGAAGGUCAGAGUGUCCCUUUUGCAUUGGCUCUUUGUUAAGUAAGUUUAAUUCAACAUAAUCAGUAUGCCGUUGUGGCAUAUUUGAAGGCUGCCUGCCCUGAGCCUAUUAGGAGGAAUGAAAUGUUUUUCGGGCCAUUGAUCACACACAGAUUAUCAGAAAUCAAGGAGAAGUAUGUCGUAGGAGAUGAGGUAAGCAGGUGGAUGGAGACUCUUGGGAUUGACUUCUCUAGUUUGCCUCUUGCUUGUCUGUUUCCCAUCCGUCCGACUUCCCUCUGAUCCUGGCUGUGUGGGGAGCAGGCACUGCGCUGGGCAGCUCGGCUUCUGGCUUUGUGACCCCAGAAAUAUGUAACUGCUACCAAAGCUUUCACAGUGUUUGCAGCAACAUUAUCAAGAUGAACGCUGGGGACAGGCAGCUUGGCUCUGGAGGAGAGUGCGUUCAUUUUAGUGUUGAAUGGAGUGCUUGUUUCCUUCUCUCUGACUUCAGGCACCUCAAAGAGCCCAGCUGUGGUGUAAUUGACGCUCCAUUUCUUUCCCUGUGCUCCCUUACAUGGAAAAGCACAAACAGGAUUUUGCCUGAAAGGCAAGAUGCCAGUGUUCUCUUUCCUGAGUGGGCUCAUAAAUACAGAUUCUUUGGAGAGAGAUGUACUUCAGAAGAUGCGAUGUCGAUGAACACAUCUUCCCAAGUGAAAAUAAUCUGUGCCAAGAGGAGUCAUAAAUGUUCCCAUUAACCAUUUGUCACGUUGGUUGCUUAUUGAUUUCUCUGCCCAAAAUGUUAUGACGUCCUGUGUCACUUCAAUUUUCCCACUAAAGAUGAAAUAAUUGCUAAUUAUAUUUGGUAUGAAGCUAAUUCAUACAUGGAAUGCAUCACACCAGAGUAGAAAAAUACUGGCUUAAACUCUGCCCUUGAUUUUCUUCCUUCCUUUCUUUCUUUUUUUUUUUUUUAAUAUUGCAGAAUGUGACAUUCAUACUAAAAGUGAGUGCAUGAAAUACAUAUAUAUACAAUUUAAAAAAUGGCUAUAAAAAUGAACACCUGUGCCCACCAACACCUGGUGUGUCAAGGACAAUGUUGCCGGCACCUGGAACUCUGGCCUGCCCUUCCUCUUUCCUAGUUUACCACAGCCUCUCUUCUGUGCUAGGGAUGUUAGUGCUUUUACUUAGGACUCUACCACCUAUUUCUCCAUCCCAAACAAUAUAGUUUAGUUCUCCUUGUAACAUUCUACAUGCAUAUUUUGUGUCUGUGUAAAUGCACAAACUCACAAGUGCUGCGUCCUCAGUGCCGCAAAACUGUCUGACUCUAGACUCAACCCUGAUCUUGUGUGUGUAGCUUUGGUUUACCUUUUCCACUGCUAAGAUCCACCCGUAAGGACAAGGCAGAGUUCAUUUGUGAAUUGCCAGGUGGGUAUUUGAGUUGUUUCUGAAAUAUUCUCUGACAAGUGCAUAGAUUCUAUAGGGUGUAUAGCAAUGAGUAUGUUCAAAAAGUGAUACUUUGAAUAGCUAAUGAUAAAACAUGUCAACCCAAUGUGAACAUAAUCUUAUUGUAAAUUUUAAUAUUUUAGAUAUAAUGGGAAAUAGUGUUUAUGUGAAUAUCUAUAAUUUCUAGGCACACACACUCUAUACCUAAAAGUAUGCUUGGCUAUGUUUGUAGGCAAGAUUAGCAUCCAGGACACAAUGCAACAUUGAUCCAGCUGUCCUUCCCCUCCCCCACAUCCUUUAAUUUUUUGGGUCUUUCCAAGGGAAAUAAAAGUGAAUCAUGCAAGAUCUUCUUAAACUGA